GGUUUGUGCUGCUGGCUACACAGACAUCAAAACUAGUCUCCUCAGAAGGGAAGCCUUCUGGAUUUACAAACUGAGGACCAUUACCCCUCAUGGUCUAAAUGACAAAUUGGACCUCACCUGCUUCCUGUAAUCAGGUAUUUAAAUCACUAGGGGACCAUGAAUGGCUGCUUGCACCACAAAAUCCACAGCAGCAUAUUGAUACUGCGAACAUAAUUAAGAAUACCCGAUGCAGAGCCAUCAAUAAAGAAAUAAUAAAGCUUUCGCCGCUUACCAGAAGAAGGGUUACCGAAACUGGGAUAAAACCCGGGAACCAGUUGUAAACGGCGUGCAAACGGUGUGAACGGAUAUUUUACCACCUACUCAGGAGCUACAUCAGCAUUGACUCUGUCUACUUGGCUUUACUAUUGAUCCAAAACCUGUGGAGUCCUGAGGAAUCCCUCCAGAACUGCAGAGACUCUGAAUCAGUUUGCCUUUAAGCCAAUCCAAACCUUUUAGGACUGCAGAGACUUAUAUCAUUUUGUUUGAUCUAUAAUACUGAGUUAGAUACUUUUGAGUUAUAUACCUUAGGACUGAGUAUUGUUUCUGUGUAUGUUAUAUGUAUAUGAUGAUCUAAUAUACAUAUUGUGUACUA